UUAUUUAAAAAUAUUGUGGCUUGAUGCUGACCUAUUACGACUAAAAUGUGAGCAAGUUGGUAGCUACAUUAAAAAAAGGAUUUGCCUUCCAUCUUCCCUUAGACACUUAAAUUUUCCAUCAUCUUCUUCCGUCUUCCUUGGUCUCAUUAGGGUAUUAAUAAUGAAGAAGAUUGUCUAGUUCGUACAAGAUCAUAUCCACGUAUCGAGAUCAUUAAGCGAGGACGAACUUGAUGUUGAGGUAUUUUUGCACUAACUUCGUUUUUAUGCUUCUUCUAACAACGUUGCUCUUAGCUUUACCGUUGGUGAUACCGGAAUUGCCACCCCCGCCGUUGAUACUUCUCUUCGUUCCUGUAUUGUUACUGUCGCUUCUUGUUUGCUUGGCCUUAUCUCCAUCAAGAUCUCCAAAUAUCAGCAUAGCUUUCGUUUGAGGUGGCGGAGUCACCGGAGAAGAGAGGUAGACCUUUUGCUAUUUUGGUGAAAUGGCGGUAGAAAGGGUGCGUCAGGCCUCAGGAUGAGGUGCCUCGGGUGGCGUGAGAGGAGCUGGGAAGGAAGCUUUCUCUGAGAAGAGUUUUUGGGUUAAGGAAAAUGAAGUGACACAGGUAGUGUGUAUCAGCUGUUUGCAUGGUUGUUUUUUUAUAGCAGGAGGUAAACUUAGCUACAAAUCUUGAGUUUAUUAAUGCAGAAGCUCGAUUUGAUACUUCAAGCAGAGACGAUGAUGCUACAUCUUAUGAUAAGACGUUUUAGGAUGACUGAAAAUCAAUUACUUUGAGCCUUCACAUUGUCCUCAAAUAGUUUUAGCAAAGAUGUCUAGUCCAAAAGUUCGUUGAGAUAAGGUUCACAAACUAGUUCAAAAUUUGCUAGUUGGCAGGUUGACCAUGCAUUGCCCGUUGUGCCAUUGACCCUGUCAAAAGACAUGUGUCAAAUUCUCUUUAAGUAUGCUGUGAGAUUCGCGAAGUCCACUACAUGGGUAUAAUAAAUAUAUACUACUAAAUUUUAGACAAUCAAAUAAAACAAACAUAAAAUUGGUAUUAUUAUAGUCCGAACAUCUCUAGCCUCAAUUAAAUAAUAAUAAGGAAUCCAAAAUUAUUUAGGCCUCUUUUUGGCCUUUCGAUUCUCCAAACUCAAAUCUGGAGUUGAUUUUAAAAAAAAAACUCGUCAAAAUAGUAGAAAUCCCUAAAGAACCUUUCGGUUUCUGGGUUUCGAAUACCCCUUUAUCCGAAAGAUGUCAUCUUUCAUCGGAGAUGACAGUCCUCGGCCACUCACGGCGGCAGAACGCAAAGAGUCAAGUAGGUUUUUAACCCCUUUUUUAUUUUAUGUUUUAUUUAUAAAAAAUAUUCGUAAAAAAUAAAAGAAAAGAAAAAUCACCUUUUGAAGUUUUGUGUUCUAUUUUUUAUUACUCUUGUGUGUUUUUUUUGUAAAAAGAUUACAUUUUUAAUCCGGCCUUUAUAGCCGAUUUACAUACUAUAUUUUACUGUUUUUGCUACUAUUUAGCCACUGUUCUUUGUUGUUUCUUUCUCUACUUCCGUGGUCCUUUUUCUUUCCCUUUUCUUGCAGGUGGCGGAGUCACCGGAGAAGAGAGGUAGACCUUUUGCUAUUUUGGUGAAAUGGCGGUAGAAAGGGUGCGUCAGGCCUCGGGAUGAGGUGCCUCGGGUGGCGUGAGAGGAGCGACGCCAAAAACCCUAGGGUUUCUGGCUAUUCUAAAGUUAGUUUAGGUUUUUGGGCCGUUGGGCCCUCUUCUUUUUUGGUAUUUGGGUUUUGUUUUCUGUAAAUAGACUGUUGUAAUUGGGUUUGUAAUUUAUUUUUGAUUUUAUUAUUUUUAUUUUUAUUUUUAUUUUUAUUUUUA